rnacentral:rRNA from 1 species
AAUACGAAGGGGGCUAGCGUUGUUCGGAAUUACUGGGCGUAAAGGGCGCGUAGGCGGUUGUGCAAGUCAGAUGUGAAAGCCCUGGGCUCAACCCAGGAGGUGCAUUUGAUACUGCAUGGCUAGAGUGUCGGAGAGGAUGGUGGAAUUCCCAGUGUAGAGGUGAAAUUCGUAGAUAUUGGGAAGAACACCGGCGGCGAAGGCGACCAUCUGGACGACAACUGACGCUGAGGCGCGAAAGCGUGGGGAGCGAACAGGA